UCUUUGCAAAGAAUCUCCAUCUAUCCUAAUCCCGGGACAGAUUAUAGCCACAGAAAGAGUGAGAGAGAGUUGUGUGAUGGAGUUCAAGUCUGCACCAAACACGAUAGGGAAACCUAUCAAAUGCAAAGCUGCAGUAUGUAGAGGAGCUGGAGAGGCACUUGUGAUAGAAGAAAUCGAAGUGGCUCCUCCCAAGCCUGGGGAGGUUCGGAUUAAGAUUCUCUGUUCAUCCCUCUGCCAUUCUGAUCUUACUUACUGGAAAUUUAAGUCUGGACCACUGUCUUUUUUUCCAAGAAUCCUAGGCCAUGAAGCAGCCGGUGUGGUUGAGAGUGUGGGUGAAAAUGUGGAUGAAGUGAGAUUUGGGGAUUUGGUAAUCCCUGUGUUUAGAAGGAACUGCGGGGAAUGUAGGGAUUGCAAAUCCCCAAAAGGUAACACUUGCACAAAAUUUGCAGUUAGGUAUCAAAGUGGAAUGCCUAGAGAUGGAACAAGCCGGUUCAAGGAUAAGGAUGGACAAAGCAUUCAUCAUCUUUUGAAUGUGUCCAGCUUUUCUGAGUACACUGUGGUAGAUAUCACUCAUGUUGUUAAGAUGAACCCUGAUUUCCCCAUUGAUAUGGCUUGCUUGCUCAGUUGUGGUGUCACUACAGGUAUAGGGGCAUCCUGGAAAGUUGCUAAGAUUGAAGAAGGCUCUACUGUUGCAAUUUUUGGACUUGGUGCUGUGGGGCUUGCGGUUGCUGAAGGUGCAAGGCUACGUGGAGCAUCCAAAAUUAUUGGGGUUGACUUGAUUCCGGAAAAGUUUGAACUUGGGAAGAAGUUUGGACUAACAGAUUUUAUCAAUCCAACUAAUUGUGGGGAAAGUUCAGUAGCUGAGGUCAUAAAAAAAAAUAACCAAUGGAGGGGCAGACUAUUGCUUCGAGUGCAUUGGUUUAGCAUCCUUGAUGCAAGACGCUUUCGCCAGCUCUCGUCAAGGUGGAUGUACAAUAAUACUUGGGAUGGAAAUGCAUGGAAAGCCGAUAAGUAUAAACCCUUAUGAGCUCUUAGCGGAAAGAACAAUCAUUGGAUGCUUGUUUGGAGGAAUCAAACCGAAGGUUGAUGUUCCCGUACUUGCCCAAAAAUAUAUGCAAAAGGAGUUGAAUUUGGAGGGUUUCAAAACACAUGAAGUCAAAUUCGAAGAUAUUAACCAAGCAUUUGACUUGCUCGAACAAAAGAAGUCACUGCGUUGCAUCAUCUGGAUGGAUGCUUAACAAAUUUUAGUUGGAUCUUCAUAAGCGUCUGCCUUUUUAUCCACAUUAGAUUAUUAGAAUUAUUUCAUUUUUGGUUCUAUGACUAUUGGAGUCUUGUUAAUUGCAGUCCACGAGUUUUAAAACUAUCAAAUUGUUGGUAUGUUGAAGUAGCUAGAAAAUUUUAAUGAGUAAAAUUAUGGUGUGUUGAAGAUU